rnacentral:lncRNA from 1 species
UCUCUCUAUAUAUAUAUAUAUAUAUAUAACUAAACUAUAAUACUAUCAAUAGCACCAAGCUAUUGAUGUUAUUACUUUUAACCUUUGGAUUGAGAAAUGUGUGGUUAGGAUGAUAUGGGCCCCCUAGGGAUGAGUGAGUGAUUGGUUGAAUGGUAUAACAUAACAGAUAAAAAUAAUUAAAGAGUUAUAUCUAACGGUGGAAAACUCGAUAGCACCAAAUCCUUUGUGCUAUCGAUAGUACCCCAGCCGAACUAUAUAUAUAUAUAUAUAGAGAGAGAGAGAGAGUCCGGCUAAUAUUCUUUUAUGAGUAUAGGCUCCUUUAUACUCAUAAAUUUUCAGUCCUUAGAUUUAUUUCAUUGAUCAUUUCCACCCGUUAGAUCAUACUAUUCAACCAACUACCCACUCAACCCUAGGGGACCACCAUCAUUCUAAGUGAGGACCAUCAUCAUCCUAACCACAUAUCCCAUCAAUCAAUGGUUAAAAAUUUAUGAGUACAAGAGGGUCUAUACUCAUAAGAGUAUAGUAGCCCCAGCCUAUAUAUAUAUAUAUAUAUAUAUAUAUAGAGAGAGAGAGAGAGAGAGAGAGAGAGAGAGAGAGAGAGAGAGCGAGAAGGACUGCUGUGCUCUCAGGAGCAUAGAGGCCUCCGUGUUCUUGAGCCAUUUUCGAUGAUGGAAUUUUCGAAUCGACGAUCGGCUCCGUUAGACUUGAUCUAGCGUAUUUGAAGUUUCUAGAAAAAAAAAUUGCGAUUUUUCGAUAUCAUUUACCUAGCAAUCAAAAGGAUUCAAAAUCAAUAAUUUUUAAUGGCUGAAAAUAAAAAUCCUAUAAAACGUGGUGAUAUAGCACUAAAAUUUUUGAUCAGAAAUAUUGAUCUUGUUGUAGAUAGUAUAAAAAAUUUUGUAUCAAAAUUUUAUCUGAUUUGAAUACUUCUAAAUCGUUAAACUUGAAAACGAUAGAUAUCAACCAUUAAAAAUUAUUGAUUUUGAACCCUUUUGACACUAGGUAAAUGAUAUCGAAAAAUAGCAAAAAUUAUUUUCUAGAAACUUCAAAUACACUAGAUCAAGUCUAACAGAGCCGAUCGUCGAUUCGAAAAUUCUAUCAUCGAAAAUGGCUCAGGAGCACGGAGGCCUUCGUGCCCCCGAGAGCACAGCAGUCCUGUUAUAUAUAUAUAUAUAUAUAUAUAUAUAUAUAUAGAGAGAGAGAGAGAGAGAGAGAGAGAGAGAGUACGUCUCCCGUGCUUUCGAAAGUACGGAGGCCUCCGUACUUGUAAGUUAUUUUUGAUGAUAGUACAUCCAAUUCGACGAUCGACUCCGUUAAGCAGAAUCUAUGCUAUUGGAACUAUCUAAAAACCAAAUUUUAUAAUUUUUUGACAUUAUUUACCAAGCGAUCACAGGAUCUAAAAAAUGACUAUUUUAAUGGCCGAUGUGUCACUUUUUAAGUUCAACGGUCUACAAGUAUUCAAAUUACAUGAAACUUUAAUAGAAAAUUCUACUUAACAUUAAUAGCAAGAACAAUACUUCCGAUUUGAAAUUUGAGUCAUUUAUCAAUAUUUUUUAUGAGAUUUUUAUUUUCAGCCGUUCAUUUUGAGGCUACUCGUUCACUAGGCAAACAAAGUUAAAAAAUUAUGAAAUUUGGUUUCUGGAUAGUUCCAAUAGCAUAGAUCAUAUUUAACGGAACCGAUGGUCGAAUCGGACGUCCCAUCAUUAAAAACAACUUAUAAGCACGGAGGCCUCCGUACUUUCGAAAGCAUAGGAACCUAACUCUCUCUCUCUCUCUCUCUCUCUCUCUCUCUCUAUAUAUAUAUAUAUAUAAUACUAGGCUUGAAUACUAUUAAUAGCACCAAGCUAUUGGUGCUAUUAGUUUUUUAGCCUUUGGAUUAAAAAAUGUGCUUUUUAGCCUUUAGAUUAAAAAAUGUGCUGUUAGGAUGAUGUGAGCCCCUAGGGUUAAGUGGGUAGUUGGUUGAAUAGUAUAAUCUAACGAGUAAAAAUAAUAAAAGGGUUAAUCUAACGGUAGAAAACUUGAUAGCACCAAGUGUUUGGUGCUAUCGAUAGCAUAGCAACCGUACUCUCUCUCUCUCUCUCUCUCUCUCUCUCUCUCUCUCUCUCUCUAUAUAUAUAUAUA